rnacentral:rRNA from 1 species
GCCAGCAGCCAUAUCACCCUGCGACUCACAACUGGCAACCCACUGAAGCUAAGCUAAGCAGGUAUGAGCCUGGUCAGUACCUGGAUGGGAGACCUCCUGGGAAAAACUCCUGGGAAGGUUGCUGCUGGAA